rnacentral:rRNA from 1 species
AUCUCUUUUAGAGAUGAGUGGCGAACGGGUGAGUAAUACAUAGGUAACCUGCCCCUGUGCGGGGGAUAACAGGAGGAAACUCCUGCUAAUACCGCAUAGCCAUGAGCACCGCAUGGAGCUCAUGCCAAAUAUCCUUUCGGGGAUAGCGCGGGGAUGGACCUAUGGCGCAUUAGCUGGUUGGCGGGGCAACGGCCCACCAAGGCAACGAUGCGUAGCCGGCCUGAGAGGGCGGACGGCCACAUUGGGACUGAGACACGGCCCAGACUCCUACGGGAGGCAGCAGUAGGGAAUUUUCGGCAAUGGGGGAAACCCUGACCGAGCAACGCCGCGUGAGCGAAGAAGGCCUUCGGGUCGUAAAGCUCUGUUGUAAAGGAAGAACGGCGCAUACAGGAAAUGGUAUGCGAGUGACGGUACUUUACCAGAAAGCCACGGCUAACUACGUGCCAGCAGCCGCGGUAAUACGUAGGUGGCGAGCGUUAUCCGGAAUCAUUGGGCGUAAAGAGGGAGCAGGCGGCCGCAAGGGUCUGUGGUGAAAGACCGAAGCUAAACUUCGGUAAGCCAUGGAAACCGGGCGGCUAGAGUGCGGAAGAGGAUCGUGGAAUUCCAUGUGUAGCGGUGAAAUGCGUAGAUAUAUGGAGGAACACCAGUGGCGAAGGCGACGGUCUGGGCCGCAACUGACGCUCAUUCCCGAAAGCGUGGGGAGCAAAUAGGAUUAGAUACCCUAGUAGUCCACGCCGUAAACGAUGGUCACUAAGUGUCGGGGGUCAAACCCCGGUGCUGCAGUCAACGCAAUAAGUGACCCGCCUGAG